AGAAUGGCUGGUGCUGAUCUGAUCAAUCUGUUUAGUCAGUGCUGUGAAAGCACUGGCAUCGAAGCUUUUGGUGUAGAUGCAGCUAAGAGCUGUGCCGCCUCUUGCCAAGAGAACUCAGCUGCCUGGAUCAGAGCAGGGAGUCAAAAUGAGGUGGAAUAUCUGCUGCAAUGCACAGGAGCUGAAGGACUGGGCAGCUACCAACGGUCUCUUGCAAGUAUAGAAGAAACUCUGGUUUUCAGAAGAAUGAACUUCAAAAUUCUAGAAGCAGGUUGUACAGGAGAGGAGGAACAGUGUGCAUGGGGACUGAGGCACGGGUAACUUGAACCAGUGUCUGAACACCUUGUGCACAGGACCUUCACAGCCAGGAAUAAGUCCUUGUCUUAGAAAGGAGAAGAGCUGAUGCACUAUGGAAGACCACAUUUGGUUACAAGAAGUCAAUUACUCUCUAUCCUUUCUCUCAUCUCUCUUGCUCCCUUGUCAUCCCUGGGGUAGGAGCCAGCUUCCAGAAUAGGCGAGGACUCUAAAAGAAGAUGGCACAAUGAGGCCAUAAAAGCAAUCAAAUCUUUAUGCUCUUCCUUUGGUGGUUUGCUUUUCUCCAGGGAGUUGUGAAGGUAGCAAGCAGCUCUUGGGAAGUUAACCUUGAACAAGGCUGUAGGGCAACACAGACCCAGAGAAAGACUGAAUAGAGUUUUUGUCACUUAUCAGUGCAGAAAUACGCAGAAGUAACCCAGUGAGUGAAACCUGGAUACUCAGAGGAGUAGAGUCAUAAAAGACUUUGGAGUAAGAAUGGAAGGUUGGAUGCAUUCAGUCAGUGCUAAAAUAGAAUGUAGGACUAGAAGAGGGUCAUUUUUCAUGUAGCUCAGUAAGACUGCAGGGUAUCCCUCUUCUCAUGCAGUAGAUGGAGAGGGAAUGUAAAAGGAUUGGGCAGCACUACCCAGUGCAAAUUUCUAUUUACUCAUCUGCCAAAAUGCUAUCAGAAACCUCCAGAACUGCUCCCCUACGUCUACAGACACUCAUCAAAUGCAUUGCUUAAACUUUUAUAACUGAGAGCAUCAAAAUUGUGUCACUGAAAAGCUGUUCUGUGAUCUAUAGGUCAUUGUGUCACUCUUGUAAGUGAAAAAUAUUAUGCAAGGACUUCUGUGCUUGCAUGCUGUGACUUUAGAUUUUGGAUCCUGUGUUUAAAAACUAUAGCUCUAACAUUUCUUCCUCUUAUUGCACUCAGAGCUGCAGCUCCCCUCCUCCAUGCUGUUUCUCUGGGUUGUAAAAUUCAGAUUUCCUUUCUUUCUUUUACUGUACAGCUGCAGAGGGGAUUUUUCUAUUUGCUUGUUUUCCCUCAUCAUGUUUGGUCCCCGCAGCUAUGACCUUUGACAAAAAGCAUAAAGCAUAUGGAGAAACAAAAAAACAAAGAGAAAAGAUAGAUUGGCUUAGAC
ensembl:lncRNA